rnacentral:ncRNA from 1 species
UGAUGGGAGCAUGUUCAGCAUCGUGAGGGGAACUCAGGGAGGACGGAAACCUCCCGCGGAGCAGAAGGGCAAAAGCUCACUUUAUCUUGAUUUUCAGUACGAAUACAGACUGUGAAAGUGGGGCCUCACGAUCCUGCUGGCUUUUUGGGUUUUAAGCAGGAG